UUUCUAGCAUUACCAGGUCGGUGAACUCAAAGAUAUUUGUAAACUCUUCGCCGGCUUCCAAAGAUUAAUCCUUGAUUUCGCAUUUUAUGCAGAUAUGUACCAGUCUCCUUUUUUCACUCAUUGCCUUUCCACCAAUUCUUAGAUGUGGAUUGCUAUUUUCAAAACAACAUUUGUGUUAAUUGGAAUCGAUUGUUCCAGGACCGGUCGCCGAAACCUUUGACCUCGCUAGAAAGCCUCAUCGGCGUUGCCGCCACCGAUUGAAGAAGACAAUGCUCACCUAAUGUCUGUGUGGGUUGUGUUCAAUCGACUGGGAGUAAAAUGAGUUGGCGCCUGCCCCCUCGUCGUCGAUUAUGGUUGUAUAUCCUCCUAUGAUGCUGUAACUCCAAUGGGUUUCAACAAAGCCAUAAGAUUAUGGUACGACGUCGAUUAUGGUACACGUAAAGUGGUCAACAAACACUACCGUCGACCUCACUUUCCAGAACACCGCUAUAUUUUUCGUCAGCCACGUGACCUCCGCACCGAUUGAUAUUUCGUUCUCUGAAACUGCAGUUGGCUCCAACAUCGUAAGCCCUAAUACUUUAUUCCCCACCAAAAUUACUACUGCAACUUAAAAUAAUUGAUUUUCUGAUUCCAGAUGAAAAGGU
rnacentral:lncRNA from 1 species